rnacentral:tRNA from 1 species
GGGGUUGUGGCUCAGUGGUAGAGCACUUGCCCUGCGUGCAUGAGGCACUGGGUUGGAUCCACAGCACCACA